rnacentral:tRNA from 1 species
AGCUUUAUAGUCAUAAAUGAUUUAAAAUUGCAAAUUUUAAGGAAUAAUCAAAAAUUAUUAAGGCUU